GGAGAUAUUGCAUAGUCUGUUUGUGCGUUGGUUUGUGCAAUUAUGGUUUAAGGGUUAAAAUCCUGUUAUCCCC
rnacentral:tRNA from 1 species